rnacentral:rRNA from 1 species
AGAGGUUUCGUAGUCCUGGCUCAGGACGACGCUGCGGCGUGCUUAACACAUGCAAGUCGAACGGUAAGGCUCCAGCUUGCUGGGGUACACGAGUGGCGAACGGGUGAGUAACACGUGGGUGACCUGCCCUGCACUUCGGGAUAAGCCUGGGAAACUGGGUCUAAUACCGGAUAGGACCAUGGUGUGGAUGCUGUGGUGGAAAGUUUUUUCGGUGUGGGAUGGGCCCGCGGCCUAUCAGCUUAUUGGUGGGGUAAUGGCCUACCAAGGCGGCGACGGGUAGCCGGCCUGAGAGGGUGGACGGCCACAUUGGGACUGAGACACGGCCCAGACUCCUACGGGAGGCAGCAGUGGGGAAUAUUGCACAAUGGGCGGAAGCCUGAUGCAGCGACGCCGCGUGGGGGAUGACGGCCUUCGGGUUGUAAACUCCUUUCGCCAUCGACGAAGGGUUUCUGACGGUAGAUGGGGGAAGAAGCACCGGCUAACUACGUG